AAGGGCACCACAAGAACGCGUGGAGCAUGUGGCUUAAUUUGACUCAACGCGGGAAAUCUUACCGGGUCCGGACACACUGAGGAUUGACAGGCAAUAUUAAAUACAUUGCUUCGGCAUUUGUAUUUAUGUUAAAUAUGCUAGUCCUUUCAUGAUUAUGUGAUAGGUGGUGCAUGGCCGUUCUUAGUUCGUGGAGUGAUCUGUCUGCUUAAUUGCGUUUCACCAAGGACCUAUACUUUAACGUGUGUUGCGGCACUUUGACCCCUCUCCUCGAGAGCGCGCGUCUUAGUUUUGCUUAGCUCACACAAUUAGGUCCUGAAAGCAACGAACGUGACCG
rnacentral:rRNA from 1 species